AGGGGAGCCAAGUGAAAAAGCUUAAGGUGUGUCUGAACCUUGAACUUCCAUUUCAUAAAUCUUUAUAAGGUUUCAUGUAUUUAUCUAACCUUUUGAAUUGGUUAUGGAGAUAUACAGUAUUUAUUAUAUAAUACAUAUUUAUUGGCUGUAUAUUUUUUCUGUUGAAACAUACAUAUUUAUCCUGUAUAUAUUCUAAUAUACGCAUACAUAUAUAUUUAUUCAACUGGUAUAGCUCCAUUUAUAAAGCUAUUUUUAAAGAUGACUCAGUGAAGAGGAGGGUAAACCAGCAAGAAAAGGCUCAAACAGCAACCAGUGGAGAAAUCAAUCCCGGGACGCGAUGUUUAAUAGGCAGGUAUCAAGAUGUGAGCUCUGUGUUCUUCAGAGACCUAGGCUGGGUUCAGGGGGGAAAGCUUUAAGGUGGAAGUCUCAUAAAUAUGACUGUGGUAGCCAGUUGGAGCUUAAAAUAGCAAAAUGAAAAAAAAAACCCCAGUCUUGCUUUGCAAGACUGACUGGGACAGGUGUAAUAAAAGAAGCCGUGGGCAAAGGGCAAGCUGGACGGGAAGAAACUCUGAGGCAGUUAGAAAAUGAAGUGCAGGAAGUCGAAUAUGGAAAGAAGUUUUGACUCAAAAUUAAUCCGUUUUCCUUCAAAAGACUAGAUCGCUCAUUUAAAAGUGUGAGGAAUUUUCUGCUGAAGAGUUAUCGUAGCUUACGUCAAAUCUAAAACUUCUCUAAAAACAUAUGAAAAUAACAAAAUUGAAGCUAGUAUUCAUAGCAAAGUUGAAUUGUAUUAACUGUUUUUAUUUGUGUGUGUGAGAUUCAAAACUGAUCUGCUGUUAAGUUUUGCAACAAUCAAAAGAAAGAUGAGGUAAAUCUCAAACAUGGAAGCUGAUGAGUUACCGCUAACCAAAACGUGCAGGCAGUUUUCGGAAGGGGUUGGUCACGAUUUCUAAUUGGAAGACCCCUCACUAGUCUAUUUGAUGACAUGGCUUUAAAGAUGCCUCUACUGGCUCCUACCCGAGUUGCCAUGUUGCAAAAUCCUACAAAAAUUGUCUCAUGUAGGAUGUGUUCCCCUGGAACAUGAGUCCAUGUGGAACCACUGCCCACGGGGGUCACAAAGUUCUUGAGGAAGGUUUUAUGCACAGUAACCCCUGCCAGCCUCCCUUCUCCUACCUCUCGUACUCACGGAGUUACUUUGCUCUAAGGGUUAGCCUGUGUCCUAGAAGAUUUUCUGUAUUUCCAGGAGACCAGUAACUAGGGUGAUCCUGAGGACGGGUCAAAAUCUAUUGGAAUAUUUAUGAAUUAUUUAUGCUUCAACUAGUACAGUGAUGAAGCAAACUGAGUACCAGUCAACGCUUUCUGAGCACUUGCCAUGUGCUAGGCACUGUGCUAAGGACUUGCUAUGUCUUAUUUUUCAAAACAAACAUAUCAUAUAGGUACAGAUGAAAAAAAAAGCAAGUCACAGAGCAGUUAGGAAACUUACCCAAGGUCACACAGCUGGCAUUUGAACCUAGGAAGUCUGGCAUCCGAGUUUACACUCUCAGCCAGUAGCCUAUAGGGCUCAACAAGUUGGCUAAAAUUCCAGACUCAGUUGGGUCUGCCCCCCUACAAAUGGUAAUUCUGACUCAAACUGGAUGUCAGCUGCCAACCCAGAGCACUAGCUGGUUCAGUCUGGUUUUCCCUCAAAUGUCUGCUUUAGUGUGAAUGUUUCUAUGGAUUUUCAAGUUAUUUAUAAACCUCUAAUUUGCAGUGUCUUUUUAUCUCAAAACUGUGUGUAGUAUUCCUUUGUUUUAAGGGUUGUUUGUUGACUACCUUUAUGAUGACUUUGUCACUUCCUCAUUCUCUGGGAAGGAAACAGUUGCCAGGAGUGUGAAAGGCAGCUUUCUGCCAUGACUAGGCAGGGAAGGGCAUUGUUACAAUCCUCCUGUGAAGGUGCAGAGGCAGGCGCAGAGGUGCAGACCUGUGCGGCCUCCUCUCCCUCUCGGGGUCUGGAAGGGAAGCCCAGAGACGAGCCUAUCGAGCUGGAAUAUGCUCAGCUAACUCCAAGAACCAGACGGUUCUGCAUGAAAAAAUUUAUUCAGAAUUUGGGGUUUGGAAAAUGUGUUUAGAAGUCAUCUAUUCCAGGAUGCUUCCCUUUUCUUAACCAAAAGCAGUACAUAUUAAUGGGACUUGCCAAGUAGAAACACCGCAGAACACACGAGACUGAGGAUAUGAACAGAAGAGAGGUGAGCCCAUGACUGGAUGUGAUUAGAAGUUGGAGUUUCCUCCUUCCUCUCCCCCUCUCCUCCCCUCCCCUCUGCACCCAGCGGAUCCCAGGGGUGGCAGUGAUUGCAAAUCUCCUUCUCCAGGAGUCCAGCCUCACAGAGUCCUGUCUCUUAACCUCAGGCUGGUUGGGGAGGCACGGUGGUGGUUGGGGAAAAAGCCACUGAGAGCCAGGAGUGGUGAAUGAACUCCUAAACAAACUCUCCACUGACACAUCACUAAAAAUAAGUAUGCUUACACGCAUAACACAUUUUUGGAACAGUAACUGAACUCUCUCUUUUAUCCUCUCUAGAGACUUAAUGUUUCAUAUUCAGCUUUAUAGAAAACAAAAUGCAAGCAGCAUCAACUUCCAGCAACGCAGGUAGGAAGUUUUUCUCUGUGUGCUAAAUGCACACUUGCCAAGAAGUUAAGAAACUGCAGAGAGCGGACGGCACCGUCUAUCAGCUGCUCGUCCGUAUGCCGGUCAAACGCUGAUAAGGCUCACUGGGCAUUGCCUUAUUUAGUCAGAUUCCGCGGCUGAAACACGGUGCACGGUGACAACUGCGCAUGCUGUUACCAGCCUCUCUCCCUUCAGUCAUUGGUGCUGACACACCAAUUAAAAAAAGUGUCUCCGUUAUUUAAACAGCCUCCUGCCUUUCCUAACAGCGACUUUCCUACAAAGAAGAAUGAUAAUAUUACAAGUAAACCUGAAUAUGUUUAUUUGGCAAAGAAUUCCCAUGAGGAAUACUGAAAAUUAAAUUCCGUUCUUAAGGCUUUUUUCACCCCCAACACUGAACCAAUCAUGAUGUUGGAUAUUAUUACUCUAUUGGUUUGGCUAAAGUGUAUAUUUUUUUCAGAAACUAGUAUUAUUACUAUUUCUAACUGUAUUAGUUUUAAAAAAACAGGCAUUAGAGUAAUGCACAGAGCCUUAUAUCAGAAAUCAAUAAUUUGAUCUAGACCUGAUUCUGCUCGUAACUGUACCAAUAAAUACGAAUCUCACGUAUCUCUAUAUACACACGUACAAACACACGUGUGUGGACAUAAAC